AGUUGUUAAUGAUGUAAAGUUACCCAUGCAUAUAUCCUGUAAAUAAAAUGCUAUUAAAUAAAAAAAAAAGAAGUUCUGAGUAGAAACCAACCGGAGUAAGUGAAGGCAUAAUAUCUUGUGCACAAGCAAUCUAACCAAACCACUAUAAGAAACAGGGCCAGAUCAAUGCCUAGACAACAUAAUCAGUAUCUAGGCAACCUACUUCUGAGCCAUAACAGGAUGCAGGGCCAGUCAGACCAGUAUUAGGCAACCCAUGGCUGCCCUAAAGCCUCUAAAACCCAUUCUUGACCCCUGCAGAGAAAGAGCAGGGGUAUGAGCCAGAAUGGAUGGCAUGGAGAAGAGGGAAUGAAAAAUAGAGAAAAUUGGAUUGAAGUUGGACCACAAGCUGAUCCAGUGCCAACAGCAGAAGAGAAAUAUGUGCUCUACUUCCCCAUUUGGGGCAGCUGAGAAAGAAAAACAAAAGCACCUUCUCCUGUUCCCAUCCACUGGGGUCCCUGUUGGUUCUGUAAUUUACAAUAAUAUGGAUACAAAUAAAUAAAACAAAAAGCUUUUCAAAAGACUCAUAAAAUUGAUAAGCCUCUAUCUGUUAUUAUUAAAAAAAGAAGAGGGCAGAAAAUCAAAUCAAU
rnacentral:lncRNA from 1 species